GCAUGGGUGGUUCAGUGGUAGAAUUCUCGCC
rnacentral:piRNA from 7 species